GCAGUACAUUGUAUAUGUUAAAUAAACUUGAGCAGUAUUUAUUUAUAACUGAAGAUACAAAGUUCAUUAGAGAGGAUGUGGUUCUUUAACUUGCCAGCAGGUUGACUAAUCGACAAGUAUGUGCUGGCUGGCCAUGCCAGAACAUGCCAGCCUUAAAGCUCUGCACAAACCAGACAGCACACCUUAUCUGAAUGUCCCACGGGAUCUGUCACAACACUCAGCAGAAGAUGGAAGGCUUUUGAACCAGAGAUGUCUAGUUAUCAGUGGGCUGGAAGGAAAAAAUCUUCCUGAUGCUUCAGGAAAUCAAGACAGACCUUUGAACUACAUGAUGAUGCAGAAGGCUAAUGAUCAGCAUAAAGGUACAAUAUUGUUUUAGGCAUUUGCAUUUGCCUGUGUGUUUUAAUUCUGCAAGAGAGUCUGCUUGGACAGAAGAGCACAAGCACUGAAUACACCAAAUAUUAAAUGCUGGCAGCUGUGUACCAAUGAAAACAAGCAGGAAUUUUACAGUCCAUUUACAGCCAAAAGUUUGUUUCACAGUAAAUCAUUAACAAUCUCCUCCUAAGUGUCACCGUUCACCUGGUUUCUUAAAUGCUCUGAAUCUCUCUUCUCUUAUCAAACUGCCACAAACUGCUGUAGCACAGCUUCAGGAAGCAUUAUCCCACAUCAACCACAAGCAGCCAGUUCUUACUUGAUGGUAACUACUACGUGGGAGUAUAUAGUCACACAGGCAGUUAUUUCCUGUUAAUUAUAUAUUUUUCAGUGAAUGCAGCUACAAAUCAUCAGUUUCUGAUUGCUCUCCUUCAAAUGAUUUAUUCCUCACAUUGUACCUUCCGAUCUGUUGAAAUGUUCAUAAUUCACCCUGUUAGCAUUUCUGUGACAAAUUGCAUGUGUUUGUGAGUUAUGUCUGCUCCUCCUUAGCAACUUAUGAACUCGUUUGCCAGCUUCAGCCUCACUAGACAAGUAUAUGUCGGGAAUAUUAAGUCCUUACACUGCGUGAAAAAUAAGAUUGUGGCAGACUAAAGUUAGAAAGUGAGGAAUAGACUUUAUUAGUUCUGGUGUUCACAGGUUUAGUUUCCUUUAAUGUUUACUGGCUGAAGUACCUGCACUGACAUUCCUGGUAGUAGACUAUGUGUUUAAGUUCAGAUCUCAUGAAAAAUUACUGAUUAAUUCUCUUCAGUAAAUAAUUAUUUCUGGUUAGGUCCAUCACAUUUCUUGGUUCAAAAAGCAGCGCCAACCUGUGCUUCAGGCAAAGCCUCCUCCCUAUACCCUCAUUUGCAAAGGCUCUGAUUUCCCAAACCACUUAUUUUAACCCGAAGCACCACAUUUACAGUCAGGA
rnacentral:lncRNA from 1 species